rnacentral:rRNA from 1 species
UACGUAGGGGGCAAGCGUUGUCCGGAUUUAUUGGGCGUAAAGAGCGUGUAGGCGGUUAGGUAGGUCCGUUGUGAAAUCCCGAGGCUCAACCUCGGGCCUGCAGUGGGUACGGGCAGACUGGAGUGCGGUAGGGGAGAAUGGAAUUCCUGGUGUAGCGGUGGAAUGCGCAGAUAUCAGGAGGAACACCGAUGGCGAAGGCAGUUCUCUGGGCCGUAACUGACGCUGAGGAGCGAAAGCGUGGGGAGCGAACAGG